rnacentral:rRNA from 1 species
UACAGAGGGGGCCAGCGUUAUUCGGAAUUAUUGGGCGUAAAGGGCGCGUAGGCGGCUUUGCGUGUCUUUCGUGAAAUCCCUCGGCUCAACUGAGGACGUGCGGAAGAAACUGCAGGGCUGGAGCCCGGGAGAGGAGGGUGGAAUUCCCAGUGUAGCGGUGAAAUGCGUAGAUAUUGGGAGGAACACCGGUGGCGAAGGCGGCCCUCUGGACCGGUACUGACGCUGAUGCGCGAAAGCGUGGGGAGCAAACGGG